UGUUGUAGCCCAUGUCUUCAUCAAACUGCAUGCACGACGCCACUCCUCUGCUACCGACGCCAUCGCAGGGGCCGGGGCCGCCGUCCCGCCCGCCGCUCCUUCUCUGCUGCACCACAGAUGCUAGCGCGGAUCGCCGUCGCCGCCCGCCGCUCCUCCUCUAAUUCUAGACGGACGCAAGCUCGGAUCGCCGUCGCCUCCUCCGGCCGCUCAUCCUCUGCUGCCCCAUGGUCUCGACGCCAGAGGCUCUCCUCUUGGUCGGUUGCUGCCCCCACGGAUGCGAGCUCCCGCCACUCCUCCUUUUCUGCCCCACGGGCUCGCCGCCGGCCGCUCUCCCUUCGUCGGUUGCUGCUCUGUACGCCCAUAGCCGUAAUUGCGGAACGCGCCACCGAUUCUCUGCGCUGGAACAUCAGGGGAAGGCUCUCCUCUGCAUCGGAUCUGGCAUCCUGAGCCUUCCAACGAUCGGAUCCGGUGAGAUUUGCCACCUCCUGCAGCCGUCCAUGUGUAGCUCGUCGACUUCACCCAGGAUGGCCACCAGGACGAGUCGACGACCUCUGCCUCAUAGUUGUCUUCCCCGAGAGCUGACGCUGUCUCCAUGCCGCACGAGGUUGCCAUUGCACCCACGACACCCUUAGCAUCGUUGAUAUUCUAUAUGUAACUCAUCAAUUGAUAGAUUUUCUCCCUGCAGUGAGUUGCAUUUUUCUACAUUGCUUCGUAUUGAGUUGACUGGGACUGUUUGAUUGAAUAACAAAUAGUAAACAACCUCUGUCGCUGAUCAAUUCAUGGAACGAUUAUCACAUGUGGCAAACUGAAUUGCAUUCUCAAUACAUAAGGGAAGUGCAAGCAGUAUCUGGAGGGUCAAAUUAUUCAUUACCUGCAAGUUAUAGAUUUAUAAUGCUAACACACUGUGUUUUGCUUUUAUAACUUGCAAGUUGCAAGUGUUAACCCCAGAAAAACGAUUUGCAGGUGGACAUCUGCAGUAAAUAAUCAGGUGCUUCCUCAUUAUCAAAGUCAAUACUCUGUGAGGUGUGCAGCGAGUGCGUGUGAAUGUGCCGAUGCGAGGUAGUGGAGGGUUCAGCAAGCUUUUUAACAAAUUGGCUGCUACGAAGACUGGUUGCUUCAAAUUUUGUUUUGGUGCUUUUGGAGAUUUGAUUGUACAAGAAAAUGAUCUACCUUGCAAUAUCAUUUUUCUUGCAAAUGAAGAAAUUCAGAGCAUCUAAGUUUUAAAUGUAUCUGCUAAAGUGUUGAUAUUAAUCCUUUAUGUUGUCCGGAAGUCAACGAACAACCAGACCAGGAAGGCGUGGAGCUUGAGCUUGAGCUGCAGCGACAAUGACAACUUGGGCGUCAACUUCAAAAAGCAACAGUUCAAGUUUCAGUGGAAGCGUAGAAGGCAACCAUGGAGGUGAUAGACGCAAUGGCUUGAGCAUGACGGAUGGUUGUCCCUAAGUUUCUACCACUGAGUUGGUGCGUGCUCCAAUAUUACCAGGUCAGUGCUUCAAAUCAUCAGACCUUGGCGCUAUUCCUUGUCAUAGAGGAGGUCAGUACUUCAAAUCAUCCUUAGCUCCAUUAUUUUUCUUUUGCAGAUCUUAGGAUAAUGGGUCAAUUUCUUACUUUUCUUUUCAAUAUCGUUUUUUUAUCCCCUAUGCUUACGCGAUGAUUAUGUGACUUAUCUGUCAGAGAACGAAUCAUGCUAAAAUUUUCUUGUACAUAAAUGAUGCAUGUAUGUUUAUUCUUGUUUUUCUUAUUACUUCAGAUUUUUUCUGUGGAUGGGCUCAACAGAUAUUAUAUUCAUCACAUAACUUGCUAUUUACUGAGUAGUAUGUGUUGCUCACUCUUUAUUUUCGUGGCGCAUAAGUAUGAUCAUGACCCUGCUCAAGUUCGGCCUCACUGCUGUCGCUGUAGCUGCUUCUGUGAGUCUCUAUAAUCUUCUUCGCCACCGGUUCAGUAACCCUCUCGGUUUUGUUCUCUCCUCUUCUCUUGUGCUCUCUGACCCAGACAUUGAUCGAUGUGACUCUUGUGAUGCCAGCCAUCAAGCUUCUCGUGCUUUGGUUACUGCUAAUGCUUGGCUCCUAAUGUAUAGGCGAGAGGAAGAUACAGAUGUACCUAAGAUUAGUAGUUCGCAUAUCAAAAGUCACCAUUCAGUUAGCAUGCGCACUUUAGCUAGCUUCCAAUUCACUUGUAGGUCUGAGAGAAAAGAGAGUGCCCUACCUUCUAUCUAGCUUCCAAUUAACUUGUAGGUGUACUAAGUUAUCCUUCAAUUUUCAGACCAUGUACAACUUGAUUCAGUGCACAUGUUUCAGGGGCUAUAUUCAGUACAAAAUGCUCAAUGAAAAACCCUGCAAGUACUCUUAUUCAGCUAUCGCUCCAUCUCACUUUGUGAUAUUUAUCGCAGCAUUGUUCAGUAUUGCAUCUGUAGCUAAUUUAAUAGCCUGUUGUCAGGUCGUAAUACCGUUGA